rnacentral:rRNA from 1 species
UACGGAGGUGGCAAGCGUUGCUCGGAAUCACUGGGCGUAAAGGGCGCGUAGGCGGCCGAUCAAGUCGGGGGUGAAAGCCUGUGGCUCAACCACAGAAUGGCCUUCGAUACUGUUUGGCUUGAGACCGGAAGAGGUCAGUGGAACUGCGAGUGUAGAGGUGAAAUUCGUAGAUAUUCGCAAGAACACCAGUGGCGAAGGCGGCUGACUGGUCCGGUUCUGACGCUGAGGCGCGAAAGCGUGGGGAGCAAACAGG